rnacentral:rRNA from 1 species
UACGGGGGGAGCAAGCGUUGUUCGGAUUUACUGGGCGUAAAGGGCGCGUAGGCGGUGUGUCAAGUCAGGCGUGAAAGCCCCGGGCUCAACCUGGGAACCGCGCUUGAGACUGGCACGCUCGAGUUCGGGAGAGGAUGGUGGAAUUCCCAGUGUAGAGGUGAAAUUCGUAGAUAUUGGGAAGAACACCGAUGGCGAAGGCAGCCAUCUGGACCGACACUGACGCUGAGGCGCGAAAGCGUGGGGAGCAAACAGG